CUGCUGAUUGGGAUAGUAUAUGGGAUGAACUGUAUGAGAGUGAUAGUAAUCCAGUGGAAGUGGAGAAAACCGGUUUUUCGUCGGCGUUAAUCCGUGGUUAUAUUGUUCCUUGUGAUUUUAAGAACAGCCAAGAACAGGAGCCAUUAUUCCAGGAUGCAUUCGCUGUUAAGGGAUGUGAUGGUCCAUUCUUGGAAGGCGGUGACUCUGGUUCUCUCAUUUUCUUUCAUGACAAGAAUAACCAGAAACAGGUGUUUGCUUAUGGGGUUUGCGAAGUGGAUGAGCUUCUCUUACCAGAACAGCACGAGUCAGCGAGUUCUUGCAGUUUUGAUGAAGACGAGUCUGAGUCUGAACAGGAAAUCGAGGAUGAGAAUGAAACUGCAUCUCAG
rnacentral:lncRNA from 1 species